ACAGCUUCACAGGCAGAACACAACACACAGAUGCAAGGUCUCCUGAUGGCAGAAAACCUUAUAACAGACGGGGUUACUCCGUGUUAGCCAGGAUGGUCUCGAUCUCCUGACCUCGUGAUCCACCUGCCUUGGCCUCCCAAAGUGCUGGGAUUCUGUAAUCCCAGUGAGCCACCGCGCCUGGCCCAUAAUCAACCUCAGCUGCCAACGCCAGAAUCAACCUCAGCUGCCAAAUGCUAGACUGAAAAAAGAAUGUAAACAGCUUGAUGGAGGGGAGGAUCCUGGUGCACCUGUGGUUUUGACAGCUUUUGCUGCUGCUUGAGGAGGAAACAGGUUGCCUGUUUGUUCUUCAAGAGCACUUCUGGCAUCCAGGUAUUAUGCAGGCAUGCACUGCCAGCUGUGAAAGAUGCCGCUUCCUUGUCACUUCAGAGAAUGAUGCUUCUACAGAAGAUCCCUCUUGCUAUUUCAUUCAGGGAGCUCGGGAGAGGAAGACAAAAAGAAUCAAAUGCAAAGCACAGAUCAUUGAAAGGGCCAGGGUCUGAAGUGAGACAACUCGUGUCACAGUGUUUUCAAACUUGAGAAUGGUACAGUAAAUUAGAAUGACUUAAUUGUAGUGAUUUUAAAAAGAUAUGAGUCCUCUAAUGGAUGGAUUAAAGAAAAGAAUAGCAAGAAAAUGCACAUAUACCAAAUUUUGACUGCCCGUGUGUUUAUACAGCCAAUGUUCUGUUCUGGUCAAGAAGAAAAGUUCCAAAGAUCUUAAAGAUGUCCCAGAAAAGUUCUAGAGUACUAUCAGAUCUCACACUUUGCCUUGGAAGCUGUCAUUCCCCUCCAUUGGCCCCACAACUGCAGUAUAAUCUUCAGUGACAGGAGAAAAUCGACCUUGUUUGUACAGAAGUCUCAGCAGGAAUAGGCAGAUGCCUGUUUUUGCUGCCAAGGAUGGAGGAUUGGAAUGGGCCCAUUAUAUAUUUUGAGGCUUUGAAGAAAAGUCUCAGGAUAUGUUUUCCCAUUAAAAUACUGUUAUAAACAAUUAGA
rnacentral:lncRNA from 1 species